rnacentral:rRNA from 1 species
UAAUUGAAGAGUUUGAUCAUGGCUCAGAUUGAACGCUGGCGGCAGGCCUAACACAUGCAAGUCGAGCGGUAGCACAAGGAGCUUGCUCCUGGGUGACGAGCGGCGGACGGGU